UUAUAUGGAGAGUUUGAUCCUGGCUCAGGACGAACGCUGGCGGCGUGCCUAAUACAUGCAAGUCGAGCGGACGGAUGGGAGCUUGCUCCCUGAAGUCAGCGGCGGACGGGUGAGUAACACGUGGGCAACCUGCCUGUAAGACUGGGAUAACUUCGGGAAACCGGAGCUAAUACCGGAUAAUGCAUAUCCCCUCAUGGGGAUAUGCUGAAAGAUGGUUUCGGCUAUCACUUACAGAUGGGCCCGCGGCGCAUUAG
rnacentral:rRNA from 1 species